rnacentral:rRNA from 1 species
GACGAACGCUGGCGGCGUGCCUAAUACAUGCAAGUUGAGCGAUGAAGAUUGGUGCUUGCACCAAUUUGAAGAGCAGCGAACGGGUGAGUAACGCGUGGGGAAUCUGCCUUUGAGCGGGGGACAACAUUUGGAAACGAAUGCUAAUACCGCAUAACAACUUUAAACAUAAGUUUUAAGUUUGAAAGAUGCAAUUGCAUCACUCAAAGAUGAUCUCGCGUUGUAUUAGCUAGUUGGUGAGGUAAAGGCUCACCAAGGCGAUGAUACAUAGCCGACCUGAGAGGGUGAUCGGCCACAUUGGGACUGAGACACGGCCCAAACUCCUACGGGAGGCAGCAGUAGGGAAUCUUCGGCAAUGGACGAAAGUCUGACCGAGCAACGCCGCGUGAGUGAAGAAGGUUUUCGGAUCGUAAAACUCUGUUGGUAGAGAAGAACGUUGGUGAGAGUGGAAAGCUCAUCAAGUGACGGUAACUACCCAGAAAGGGACGGCUAACUACGUG